rnacentral:lncRNA from 1 species
UUCAAGCUUGUCUUUUUGUUCUGUAAUUUACUAUUGUUUGACUUGUAUAAUUUUAACUUAAAGCUUCUAUUCUUUUUCUUGAUUUUGUAAGUAGUUUCCCAAUCUUCUCCAUUGCAAGUGACAUUUACAUGCGUAUAUGCAUUAAGAAUUUACUUACCAUGUAUUCUAAUUGGCAGGUGUUGAGCACUUGCUAAGGGAUGUGAAAGAUACUACAAUCAGUACUCUUGCAACUGAGGUUUCUUUCUGAACCUUUGUAUGACCUUUUUACAUUGAAAAAAUAGACAAUGAUAAGUUUGGCUUCUUAACAAGUAGAGGGCAAUAAGAACUUUGAACACUUCCAAUCUAGGUAACCGGGAAACUGGCAGCUUUGAACUUAUUUCUGAACCUUCUUAUGACUUUUUUACAUUAAAAAAUAGACAAUGAUAAGUUUGGCUUCUUAACAAGUAGAGGGCAAUAAGAACUUUGAACACUUCCAAUCCAGGUAACUGGGAAACUUGCAGCUUUGAAGGGAUUGGAUGCUCGACUUCAAGAGAUACGAAGUUAUCUAGAUCUUGUCAUUGAUGGGAAGCUUCCUUUG